UUCACGGAGAGUUUGAUUCUGGCUCAGAACGAACGCUGGCGGCGUGGAUAAGACAUGAAGUCGAACGGGAUAUCUGGUGUAGCAAUACAUCAGGUGUUCAGUGGCGUAAGGGUGCGUAACACGUGGGCAAUCUGCCGGGAAGUGGGGGAUAGCUCGCCGAAAGGCGAAUUAAUACCGCAUGUG
rnacentral:rRNA from 1 species